rnacentral:rRNA from 1 species
AUGAAGCAUCUCCAUCUCGUAGGCCUCCUCCUGCUCUCCUGCACUUGUCCCCUACUAUGCGCCGCCCAGCGUGAAGCUGCGGCACUUGUGCGUUGGAAGGCUAGCUUGGAUGGUGCCGCUGAUCGGUCCCUGGGGCCAUGGUCGAUGGCCAACUCCACAAGGCUUUGCAGGUGGAGGUACAUCACCUGCGACUCGGCCGGCCACCUCACAGAGCUCAACCUCGGCGGUGCAACGCUGAAUGGGAUUGGCAACCUGACGAGCUUGGUCGUGCUGCGGAUCCUCGACAACCCGUCUUUGAGGGGCGCCAUUCCUCGGACCAUUGGCCAGCUGAAGCAUCUUGCUGUGCUGGAACUGGAUUGUUUGGGGCUUGGUGGCUCACUACCUGAAGAGAUUGGUAACUUGACGAGUUUGGAGAAUCUCAAUCUCAACUUGGUUGUUUUGACUGGAUCAAUCCCGCCUACAAUUGGGAUGCUCGUGAAGCUCCGUGUGCUGGACCUGGAAAAUAAUAAUCUGACAGGGAGCAUCCCGAUGGAGAUCGGAAACAUGACGGAGGUGCAGUACAUGCACUUUCAAGAUAACUAUUUGGAAGGGGACCUACCAGGUACCAUCUCUCAUUUGAUAAAUCUCCGGGAACUGGAUGUUUCAGGAAAUCAGCUUGGAGGCCACAUCCUCCUGGAGUUUAGGAAUAGCAGCCUCCUGAAUAUGGUUGACAUUGCAAAGAACAACUUCUCCGGGAUGUUCCCGCCAUCCGUCUGCAUUGGAGGAGCACUGAGAUUUCUCGAUGCUAGAUACAAUGGAUUUACCGGCAUUCGCCAUCAGACCUUUCAAAACUGCACAACCCUGCAGUAUGUUGACUUCACGGCAAACAACAUUGUUGCAGAGCUAAGGGAAUGUUUUAGCGAUCAUCCAAAAUGGCUUAGCACCGUGGCUUUCAGUCAGAACCAACUGUACGGCACGCUUCUGACAGAUCAGGGUGAGGAUUUACUUUGUAACUUAACUAGUUUAAGCCUCCUAGACCUAUCAAGCAAUGCCUUGCAUGGAGAUCUUCCCAAGUGUUUCUGGGACUUGCCAAAUUUGGGAUUAGUGGAUCUGUCCAGCAACUCUUUCAGUGGUGUAGUUCCAUUCUCAAGGACAUGUCAAGAGAAUCUCAACUAUCUGCUCCUAGCCAAUAACCAUUUUAGAGGUACCUUUCCUCUGAGUCUUAAGAAAUGCAUAAACCUCGUUGCUCUGGAUCUUGGAGGCAAUAGUUUCUCUGGUACAAUACCUUCUUGGGCAAGCAUGAGUUUGCCUAAACUCAACUUUCUUCGACUGUCAUCAAACAUGUUCGGUGGCAUUAUACCUCAAGAGAUCUUACAAUUUCGCUUGCUCCGGGUAUUGGACUUGUCAAGAAACAAGCUCACAGGAUCUGUUCCAGACGAUUUCACGAAUUUAACUGCCAUGGCACAAGAACAGGAAAGCCCUGGCAUUAUAUAUGCUGACCCCGACUUUUUUGGAAAGCGAAUUCAUAUAGUUUGGAAGAAUGUAAACUAUGCUUACAGUCUGCAGAUAAGCGCCGUGGCAGGUAUCGAUUUAUCUGGUAACUCUCUUUCACAAGAAAUCCCAAAGGGGCUCACGACCCUUCUUGGGCUCAGGUACCUGAACUUAUCAGGAAAUCAUCUGUCAGGUUGUAUUCCCGAAGACAUUGGCAAUCUGGUACUGCUGGAGUCCUUGGACCUUUCUGGGAACCAACUCUCAGGGGAAAUUCCGCCAAGCUUGUCAGCUUUGAAGAGCAUCAGCGUGCUGAACUUCUCGAGCAAUGGUCUGUCAGGGAGGAUACCUACAGGCAGUCAGCUGCAGGUACUCGACGAUCCGUCGAUAUACAGUAAUAAUCCUGGGCUAUGCGGAUUUCCGUUGGAAGACUGCAUAAACUCCUCGACACCGGCACAAAGUGAAACAAGCCUGGAUGAAGAUAGAGAGGCGUUGUGGGUGUAUUGCUUUGUGGCUGCUGGGUUCAUCUUUGGGUUCUGGCUGUAUUGGGCAUCUUCUUUUUUCGCGGCAAGACCUGGAGGUGUGCAUUCUACCAGCAUGUGGACAACAUGCAAUCCAAGGUAA